rnacentral:hammerhead_ribozyme from 1 species
AUCCAGAUGAAGAGUCCCAAGUGGGACGAAACUCACGUUCAGGAU